rnacentral:rRNA from 1 species
GAGUUUGAUCGUGGCUCAGAUUGAACGCUGGCGGCAUGCCUUACACAUGCAAGUCGAACGGCAGCAUGAUCUAGCUUGCUAGAUUGAUGGCGAGUGGCGAACGGGUGAGUAAUACAUCGGAACGUGCCCUGUAGUGGGGAUAACUAGUCGAAAGAUUAGCUAAUACCGCAUACGACCUGAGGGUGAAAGUGGGGGACCGCAAGGCCUCAUGCUAUAGGAGCGGCCGAUGUCUGAUUAGCUAGUUGGUGGGUAAAGGCCCACCAAGGCGACGAUCAGUAGCUGGUCUGAGAGGACGAUCAGCCACACUGGGACUGAGACACGGCCCAGACUCCUACGGGAGGCAGCAGUGGGGAAUUUUGGACAAUGGGCGAAAGCCUGAUCCAGCAAUGCCGCGUGUGUG